rnacentral:rRNA from 1 species
AGAGUUUGAUCCUGGCUCAGGACGAACGCUGGCGGCGCGCCUAACACAUGCAAGUCGAACGAGAGAGAGGGAGCUUGCUUCCUCGAUCGAGUGGCGAACGGGUGAGUAACGCGUGAGGAACCUGCCUCAAAGAGGGGGACAACAGUUGGAAACGACUGCUAAUACCGCAUAAGCCCACAGGUCGGCAUCGACCAGAGGGAAAAGGAGCAAUCCGCUUUGAGAUGGCCUCGCGUCCGAUUAGCUAGUUGGUGAGGUAAUGGCCCACCAAGGCAACGAUCGGUAGCCGGACUGAGAGGUUGAACGGCCACAUUGGGACUGAGACACGGCCCAGACUCCUACGGGAGGCAGCAGUGGGGAAUAUUGCACAAUGGGGGAAACCCUGAUGCAGCGACGCCGCGUGGAGGAAGAAGGUCUUCGGAUUGUAAACUCCUGUUGUUGAGGAAGAUAAUGACGGUACUCAACAAGGAAGUGACGGCUAACUACGUGCCAGCAGCCGCGGUAAAACGUAGGUCACAAGCGUUGUCCGGAAUUACUGGGUGUAAAGGGAGCGCAGGCGGGAAGACAAGUUGGAAGUGAAAUCUAUGGGCUCAACCCAUAAACUGCUUUCAAAACUGUUUUUCUUGAGUAGUGCAGAGGUAGGCGGAAUUCCCGGUGUAGCGGUGGAAUGCGUAGAUAUCGGGAGGAACACCAGUGGCGAAGGCGGCCUACUGGGCACCAACUGACGCUGAGGCUCGAAAGCAUGGGUAGCAAACAGGAUUAGAUACCCUGGUAGUCCAUGCCGUAAACG